GACGAACGCUGGCGGCGUGCUUAACACAUGCAAGUCGAACGGAAAGGCCCUGCUUUUGUGGGGUGCUCGAGUGGCGAACGGGUGAGUAACACGUGAGUAACCUGCCCUUGACUUUGGGAUAACUUCAGGAAACUGGGGCUAAUACCGGAUAGGAGCUCCUGCUGCAUGGUGGGGGUUGGAAAGUUUCGGCGGUUGGGGAUGGACUCGCGGCUUAUCAGCUUGUUGGUGGGGUAGUGGCUUACCAAGGCUUUGACGGGUAGCCGGCCUGAGAGGGUGACUGGCCACAUUGGGACUGAGAUACGGCCCAGACUCCUACGGGAGGCAGCAGCGGGGAAUAUUGCACAAUGGGCGGAAGCCUGAUGCAGCAACGCCGCGUGCGGGAUGACGGCCUUCGGGUUGUAAACCGCUUUCGCCUGUGACGAAGCGUGAGUGACGGUAAUGGGUAAAGAAGCACCGGCUAACUACGUG
rnacentral:rRNA from 1 species